rnacentral:rRNA from 1 species
ACAAUGAAGAGUUUGAUCCUGGCUCAGGAUGAACGCUAGCUACAGGCUUAACACAUGCAAGUCGAGGGGCAGCAUGGUCUUAGCUUGCUAAGGCCGAUGGCGACCGGCGCACGGGUGAGUAACACGUAUCCAACCUGCCGUCUACUCUUGGACAGCCUUCUGAAAGGAAGAUUAAUACAAGAUGGCAUCAUGAGUCCGCAUGUUCACAUGAUUAAAGGUAUUCCGGUAGACGAUGGGGAUGCGUUCCAUUAGAUAGUAGGCGGGGUAACGGCCCACCUAGUCUUCGAUGGAUAGGGGUUCUGAGAGGAAGGUCCCCCACAUUGGAACUGAGACACGGUCCAAACUCCUACGGGAGGCAGCAGUGAGGAAUAUUGGUCAAUGGGCGAGAGCCUGAACCAGCCAAGUAGCGUGAAGGAUGACUGCCCUAUGGGUUGUAAACUUCUUUUAUAAAGGAAUAAAGUCGGGUAUGCAUACCCGUUUGCAUGUACUUUAUGAAUAAGGAUCGGCUAACUCCGUGCCAGCAGCCGCGGUAAUACGGAGGAUCCGAGCGUUAUCCGGAUUUAUUGGGUUUAAAGGGAGCGUAGAUGGAUGUUUAAGUCAGUUGUGAAAGUUUGCGGCUCAACCGUAAAAUUGCAGUUGAUACUGGAUAUCUUGAGUGCAGUUGAGGCAGGCGGAAUUCGUGGUGUAGCGGUGAAAUGCUUAGAUAUCACGAAGAACUCCGAUUGCGAAGGCAGCCUGCUAAGCUGCAACUGACAUUGAGGCUCGAAAGUGUGGGUAUCAAACAGGAUUAGAUACCCUGGUAGUCCACACGGUAAACGAUGAAUACUCGCUGUUUGCGAUAUACGGCAAGCGGCCAAGCGAAAGCGUUAAGUAUUCCACCUGGGGAGUACGCCGGCAACGGUGAAACUCAAAGGAAUUGACGGGGGCCCGCACAAGCGGAGGAACAUGUGGUUUAAUUCGAUGAUACGCGAGGAACCUUACCCGGGCUUAAAUUGCAGAUGAAUUACGGUGAAAGCCGUAAGCCGCAAGGCAUCUGUGAAGGUGCUGCAUGGUUGUCGUCAGCUCGUGCCGUGAGGUGUCGGCUUAAGUGCCAUAACGAGCGCAACCCUUGUUGUCAGUUACUAACAGGU